UUUAUACGUCGAAUUUUGGUCGCCUCGAAUGCAAUUAAGACAAUAUAGAUAAUAAACCUCAUUAAGCUUCAUUAUCUAUUGUUUGAAUUGCAUUCGACGCGACCGAAAUUCGAUGUAUAAA